GACGAACCGUGCGAACGUUAUUCGGAAUCACUGGGCUUAAAAGCGCGUGUAGGCGGGCCGCCGCGUCGGCUGCUGAAAUCCCCCCGGCUCAACCGGGGGAACGGGCACCGAUACGGGCGGCCUGGAGGGGGGUAGGGGGGCCUGGAACUCCGGUGGAGCGGUGAAAUGCGUUGAGAUCGGAAGGAACGCCCGUGGCGAAAGCGAGGUCCUGGACGUUUUCGACGCUGGAGACGCGAAAGCCCAGGGGAG
rnacentral:rRNA from 1 species